rnacentral:lncRNA from 1 species
CUUGCACCAAGCUAGGUGGGGUCAUCUACCACAUACCUAGGCUAUGCUGUACAGUCUAUUACUGUGGACUGUACAUGUGUACAGCAUGCUACUGUUACUGUAGGGGCUAUCUCUAGUCUACCCCGCACCAUCUGGGCUGAACAAGGGCCUUGGUCAUGGAAACCUGGUUAUCACGAGAGGCCCAGAAGUGGAGAGUUGGAUUUUAGCACUGAACAUCCUGACCCAGGAGCAAGGAAAAUUAAAAACGGACAAGAUCUGCAUUCCCUGCUCCACCCUUCUGGGACACCCUCCUACAGGUCAUGAGUUUCCUAGGCAGCUUCAGAGAUCAAGGCCUCACUGUGGCCAUUGGGUUGUCACUGAGCUGCCAAAGAUCUUGACUCUAGAAACCUCCCAUCCUUCAGAACUGAAGCGUGGACCAUGGAGUGUGCAUAAGGCUGGGCUGGAGGGAGCCUGA